rnacentral:rRNA from 1 species
AGAGUUUGAUCAUGGCUCAGAUUGAACGCUGGCGGCAGGCCUAACACAUGCAAGUCGAGCGGUAGAGAGAAGCUUGCUUCUCUUGAGAGCGGCGAACGGGUGAGUAAUGCCUAGGAAUCUGCCUGGUAGUGGGGGAUAACGUUCGGAAACGGACGCUAAUACCGCAUACGUCCUACGGGAGAAAGCAGGGGACCUUCGGGCCUUGCGCUAUCAGAUGAGCCUAGGUCGGAUUAGCUAGUUGGUGAGGUAAUGGCUCACCAAGGCGACGAUCCGUAACUGGUCUGAGAGGAUGAUCAGUCACACUGGAACUGAGACACGGUCCAGACUCCUACGGGAGGCAGCAGUGGGGAAUAUUGGACAAUGGGCGAAAGCCUGAUCCAGCCAUGCCGCGUGUGUGAAGAAGGUCUUCGGAUUGUAAAGCACUUUAAAUUGGGAGGAAGGGCAUUAACCUAAUACGUUAGUGUUUUGACGUUACCGACAGAAUAAGCACCGGCUAACUC